AAUAGAUACCCCGGUAGUCCACGCCGUAAACGAUGAGUGCUAAGUGUUAGGGGUUUCCGCCCCUUAGUGCUGCAGCUAACGCAUUAAGCACUCCGCCUGGGGAGUACGGUCGCAAGACUGAAACUCAAAGGAAUUGACGGGGGCCCGCACAAGCGGUGGAGCAUGUGGUUUAAUUCGAAGCAACGCGAAGAACCUUACCAGGUCUUGACAUCCCACUGACCGCUAUGGAGACAUAGUUUUCCCUUCGGGGACAGUGGUGACAGGUGGUGCAUGGUUGUCGUCAGCUCGUGUCGUGAGAUGUUGGGUUAAGUCCCGCAACGAGCGCAACCCUUGAUCUUAGUUGCCAUCAUUUAGUUGGGCACUCUAAGGCGACUGCCGGUGACAAACCGGAGGAAGGUGGGGAUGACGUCAAAUCAUCAUGCCCCUUAUGACCUGGGCUACACACGUGCUACAAUGGACGGUACAAACGGUUGCCAACCCGCGAGGGGAGCUAAUCCGAUAAAACCGUUCUCAGUUCGGAUUGUAGGCUGCAACUCGCCUAC
rnacentral:rRNA from 1 species